rnacentral:RNase_P_RNA from 1 species
UGAGUUGAGUAGAUGGUCGCGUCUCAAAAUGAGAUGAGGAAAGUCCGGACUCCGCAGGACAGGAUGCUGGGUAAUCCCCAGGAGCGGCAACGUUAUGGAAAGUGCAACAGAAAGUAGACUACAACGUCCAACGUUGUACAGGUGAAACGGUGCGGUAAAAGCGCACCAGUCCAUAAGGUGACUUAUGGGGCUCGGUAAACCCCAUCUGGAGCAAGGUAAAAAUGGAGACAUUUAAAGGUGUGUCCGCCUCGUCUCCGGGUAACCGCUUGAGGUUAAUGGCAACAUUGGUCCCAGAUGAAUGAUCAUCAUAUACAGAAUCCGGCUUAUUCUCAACUCAAGUU